AGUGUUAUUGUUCUGUUCUGGCAGCUGUCGGCUGAAACAUUGUGGGAUGCCACACUUGGCCCAAAGGCGGAUGGUACAGCAACAGAUUUCUCUUAGGAGAGAAAAGAAGAAUGUUGCAUCCUGUUCUUCGUAAUAUUCAAGACGAUAGCACAUCUAGCUCCACCAUGGGUAGAUCGGGACUUGAUAACAUGUGUCUGAGCCUCUGUUUCCUGUUCCCUACCUUCACACACCCCCAUAGCUGAAUGCUGUAGAGGAUAUCCUCAAAAGGACAAUUACAAUUUUGGAAUAAUGUGUUCACUUCCCAUAUCCUUACCUUCUAACACAUCCUUAAGUGUCCUCUCCCUUGGAGCAGAGAGAGCUUUUGUGCUGACUGUCUCUCUUAUCAGGGAGGGAAUGAGCUCAUAAACGUAAAUUAAAAUGCCGUACACUCAUCAUGUCACAUGCCCCAGGGACUCCUGCAUUAUGAUCCUCACGGUAAUAGCUACUGUUUAUGGGGGGCCAGCCAUCAAGAACCCACAACAGUUACCAACCCUCUUCUGGCUCUGCCUGAUGGCUGGGUGACGUCAGACAAGAGGCUUGAUGUCUCUGAGCCAGGGUGAAAUGAGGAUAAGAAGACCUGCCUCCCAGGUUUGUUGUGCAGAUUAAACACUGUGAUGUGUAUAAGACCCUGAGCACAUCGUCUGGCCCUAGGUGCAUGCUAAUGAAAUACCAGUAGUCUCCAUGACAGCAGCAGAAGUAACUGCACUUGUCAUUCGAAAGUGGAAGUGGAAGCAUAAAGAAGUUACAAAAGAUCCCCAAAGAUUGGAAUUCAUUCUACUUCUGAAACCUUCACUCUUCUCACCAGGCAGGUGGGAAUGGAAGAAAGGAAAAGGAUGCUGGAACUCUAAGCACAUUUGUCCUUGGAGAUGGACAAUUAGUUGAUUUAAAAACAUACUCUCUGGCCUUAGAAAGUAGCUACACCUUUCAGAGGAUGAUGAAUGGAGGAAAACAAAUGAACAGGCUGGCUCGUUCAAAAUAUCUCACAUCAUUUUGCAGUGAUUCAGCACAGUCACUUUGGUGUAGCAAUUGUUUGUAAAAGGCAUUUUUCAUAAUGAAGUCCAAACAUGUCAUUCUCAUAGGUUGAAAUGAAUCUUACCAGUGGCAUCUGCAGAUGGGGCACAGCAGGAAGACAGAAGGACAAUGACCAAACAACAAAUGGAACAAUUUAGUUCAAGGAUCAAAAUUGAAUUUUUAUUAGAAGACUUGAGGAGUCAAAGCUGAGGAUUUCAUGUAGGCUCUAAAAUACCACUUGGUAUACAGAGCACUUUUCCCUGCUUUUUUGAGUGAUUUGCAAGAAAUCCACAGGGCAGGGAUCAUUUGUUAUUCAUCUUUCUAUCCAACCAAUAGCACAGGAACUCGUAUUUUGAAGGUGCUUAUUACAUAUUUGUUGAAUUUAAUUGCAGGAGCAAGAGUGUUUCUUCAGUUGGCCCAAUACAAUGAUAUGUUAAGAAGCUGAUGGGAUCAUAUUGGAAUGAGCUGUUGGUUGGGAAUAUAAGGCGGUCGAUUUCAGUUUCUUUAUCAAAACAUUGAGUUUUCCAUGCUGGGAGGGACCUGUUCAUUCGGUCGAGUCCCACAGAAAUCAACUGCCUGCAAAAAACAGACUUUUGGAACUCAGCACUACAGAUGGGUCAUGUGUGUACCCAAUUUGGAGUCAAAUUGGAAUGAAAAAGAGAAGAGCCAUUAAAAGGAACACCCCAGCAAGAGCAAGAGAUGACAAAGUUUCUAGUUUCAAAAUUUCAUUGAUGGCAGUUUCUUAAAAUAUCCAUGUCGGUGCCUGUGUCCAAACAAAUGAAUAAAAUUAAGAAAUUAAACUGACCCUGACUGCCAGACAUUUUCACACAUGUUAUGUCUUCCACUUCCUAUAGCAAUUUUCAGCUGUUGGCAUCACAUGGAGAAUAAAAGAGCCAUCAAGAGGUUGAGUUAUUGGCAACAGGUCACACCAAGCCUGUCUGAUCCCAGAGCCCCCUUUUAAGUCCACGAAACUUACUCAGCCAUAUGGUUCCUUUUAUUAAAUAUCCUCAAUCUAUGUGCAAUAUUUGCACUUGGCAUCACAUGGUGCAAGAAUGCAUUCCUAGCACAGAUCACCACUAUAUUCUAAUUCUGAUUCUGUGCCUGGCACCAAGUAAGCACUCCAUAAGUAUUUGUCCAAGGACUAUUAGAAUUAAGAAGUGAAUGAACGAAUGAAUGGAUACAUAAAUAAUGAACGAAGGAAUAACUACCAACUGGGACAAGGGUAUCCAGAAAUUUUGGCUGGUACAGCAAGAGUCUGAUCUGAUGUGGCAUUUACUUCUGAAAUGUUGGUUCUAAACAGGAGAAUGAUUUCAGAGAUGAAAGAUAAAAAGUUGGCAUCUCAGCAUUGGAGAAUUAGUCCUUCAUGAAUCCAAAAGGAUGAGUAAUACAAAUUUAUAUGUUUAUGUUCCAGAAUUUAGAAGCUUUUAGAAAUAAGAAACUGCUCUUGGGAUAAGACUCUCCCCCAGAACAAUAAAAAAAAUUUAAGUGCCUAGAUGCUGCAAAAAAAUAUGAUUUACUUAAAAAAAUAACUUGAAAAGAUACUAGACAGUUCUAAUCUAGCCAUUUUAUGUGUUAGUCACUCGCACCCACCCCCCAAAAUGUGUGUGGAGUGGAGUUAGAAGGCCUGGUAACGGGUGACCUAUGCAGACACGCAUACCGGGCACAGGUUUUAAGUGUUGACAACACAGAAUUCAAAUGUGAGUUGAG
rnacentral:lncRNA from 1 species